AGUGCCUGGCAGUGGUAUCUGCUUUCACCUUCAGGUCCUGGCUGCCUCGGAGUGGGUCAGGAAUACCUGUGCCCAUCCGUGCUCUCCCAGCUGGGAAAUUGAGCUAGUGAUGCCCAGGUGCUUUGCAAAAAAGCUCCCAUGAUAUAAAACAGAAUCAGGGAUGAGGGGAGGGUUUUGGUGGUGGUUUGUGUGGAGUUUUUGCUGGAAGGAUUUUUCUUGCACAUGCAAAGAAGAGAUUUUGUGGUGGUAGCAAAGCAGGUGAGCACUGUGGAGAAAAGGGAGCAUCCAGCAUGGGGUGUUAGCAGAAAGGAGUUCAGGAUUGGACCCCUGGGAGGAACUGUGGUGCUCCCCCUGCAAAGCAGCAGCGCUGUAUAGAGAUGCAUCUAUCUCCUGUGCCCUUGUCAGAAGAAACUGUGAGUUCCUUUGCAGUUAGCAUCCUGGUCCAAACCAAAUUAGAAGCGCUGGAGUUGAGAAGAAUCACUGUGAUCAGAGAUCAAUCUGCUUGACCUGCAGCUCUGGCCCAUCCGCAGCCCUCACGUGCUCUUCUCUCUGGACGUGCCCCCAGACAGCAGCUGCUCAGCCUCAGCUCCUGGGCUUCCUGCGAGGAUGUGAGCUCUGCAUCGGCUUUGGGGCUGGGGACUGCAUCCCCACACCAGUUUGCACCACCCCUCACUGCCUUCCCAACACGCCAGCAUUGCUGGAGGAGAUGUCCCCAUCUUUCAGGAGCACUGACUUGUCCUGGUGGAGACCCAGACAGACACACGCGACCCAAUUGCUUCUAGCAGCUGCGGUAAGGAGUUGAGUCCAGGCAGGGCGGCAGGAAACUGCAAUUCCGACAACAAAUAAUCUCAUUUAAAGAAAUCUGUGCUUGCAAAUGGGAAACGCCGAAUCCAUCAGAUAAAUUGUUUGCUCACAAUGCUGCGAGCGAGCACCCAGGGAGCCCCAGUGCCCACACAAAGCGCCACGCUCAGCACAUCCCCUCUCUGAGCACUCAGCACAUCUCCUGCAUGCUGGCAGCUUUGUGAGGGCCGCUGAAAAAUGGCAAAGGAGGGGGAAGGGCAGUGCCUGGGUGAUGGGGGGGUGACUGUCCCUGUCCCUGGGAGCCACCUCGGAGCCUGGCUCAGCUCUGUGUGCUGGGAGAAGCCCCUUGCAGCAGCCGCUGGGUGGUCUGCCUCUUAAUUACAGGGUUCAUGCAAUGGUACUAUCAGGAGAAGUUUCUUAACCUGAUAAUGAGUAGGAAGCAGCUGUAGCUUGGAAAAUGUAAUAAUUGCAGAGUGGAGCAAUGUAAUUAUAAGGUGUGUAUCAACUGCCUCCGUGUUUACUUAGAGGAGACUAAAUCCCCUGCAAAGCAGCAGCGGUGCAGCAGUGGCUCUGCUCUGUGGGGCAGAGGUGGGCAGCAGCAAUGCAGGGCUCAGGCCAGGCUGUGCCCCUACCCAGGCACACACUGUCAGCAGGAAUCCGUCCCCUCUGAGCCCUCCGCUUGCUGUCCCUGGAGGAACCACCCACCCCAGGUCCAAAUGUGCCCCCACUGCCUCCUCCCUCAGCCUCGCUCUGCUCGGUUUCUCCCCCACUCACCUGCACACGAGGCAGAUUUCACUCUGCGGUCUCCACGCCAAAGAAAAUUUCCAUUAGGUGGAAAAACUGCUUCCCUUUCAUGCCCUGAAGGCAGAAUAAGCAGAUGAGUGGAGGAGCGCAUCCCAUACAGAAGUAGCAUGGCUGUGCUGAGCCUUGCUCCCGCUGCACACAGACCACUGCGUGUCUGCUGCAGCCCAUGCUGAAGCUGCGUGCACCAUGACUCCCUCAUCACAAGCAGGAGGUCAGCUCAGCCCCAACGUGGCACGGCCAUUGCUCAGCCCCAAUCCUGCCACCAGACCUUGCCUGGGAAUCUGUCCUGCAGAUGAGGUUUGUCAUUGCUGUCGGACAGCUGCUACAUCAGGGUGGAGCUGACUCCGGAGCAGCUCCCACCAGCAGGCAGAAGGAGCCAUGGGCUGCACGGGUCUCCAUGCUGGGUGCAGUGUGACACAGGUUUGGGGCAGCUCCCUGCCAUGUGUACACACGUGUGCUCACGUGCUGGCACGUGUCUGCUCCUUCUCCCACUUUCUCACUCUGAUGCAUGGAAAAGGCUUUGCCAACUGCUUUUUGUUAUUAUUGUUUUCCUGAAAAACCUAGAUUUGGCUCAAACAGAGCACGCGGUGCAUUUUUGCUGGGUGUACUCAAUUAUUCUCAUCUUAUAUAUUAAAAAAAAAAAGUUGAAAUAUGCCAAUAUGGAAAUAAAACUGGGUCAAGUUUUAAAUGAAUUGCUGUAAUACCAACUCUGAAGCACAGUCAAACUGUUUCAU